rnacentral:rRNA from 1 species
UAAGUUAGUAGUGAAAUCGUGUGGCUCAACCAUAUACACAUUACUAAACUGCUCAGCUAGAAGAUGAGAGAGGUCGCUAGAAUUCCUAGUGUAGGAGUGAAAUCCGUAGAUAUUAGGAGGAAUACCGAUGGCGUAGGCAGGCGACUGGCUCAUUCUUGACACUAAGGCACGAAAGCGUGGGGAGCGAACGGGAUUAGAUACCCCGGUAGUCCACGCCGUAAACUAUGGAUGCUA